AGCACCCGCCCGACCCCAAAACCAAAACACAAAACCCUAAGCGAACUGGCGGCCAUUUUGAAUCCAUAGUCGACUCCUCCCAAAACUCGAGCUCCUCCCAAAACCAAAACACAAAACCCUCAAUCGAACUCGCGGCCAUUGUUAACCUUCAUCCAAUCCUUCAUCUUAAGCGCCUCCCACUACGACAACGUCCGCUGCUGCCCUUCAUCAACUGUCGCUGCUGCCCUCCCCCUGCCAAACCAAGAAUGUCAACGCCGACCAAGCAUUGUAGGCCGUUCUGUCUUAGUCUCUCGAAUUAAAGGUCGGCGACUGCAAGAAAUCGGCAGCGAUUCGGCGCUAGUGGCUCCAAAGAACGACCGGGAGGCCACUGGGUAAUACAGGGCGACUCUCGAAGGUGCAGAUCUGGACUCUUUAAGAGUUUAAGUAAUCUUUGUAAGUACAAAGCAGCCAACUUUUAUGAAUUUGGUACCCAUCUCAAAUUUGAUUGCUUUCUACCUUGAAUUUAUCUUCUUUUGAUUGGUUUUCCAAUUGGGUCGAAUGGGUUUCUGAGUUGCAUUGAUAACCAAGAUUAGGUGAUAUAGGAUUGGGGUUACAUGGAGAAGUUGGUGUGAUUCCUAAUUGGGGUUAUAUGUUGUUUUGAAUUGGUUCGACCCCGAAACCGAUUGUGGUUUCUCCAACGACCGAGCUUCUUCGACGACGACCGAACUCGGAAUCGAGGAUGGGGCACAACUGAAGCGCUAUUUGAUCCCCAAAUCUAGAGUGAAAUCUGAGAGAAGCAAAACGAAAAGCGAAAUCAAAACCAGAGCAAGGUGUAUAGCUCAGUUGAUUGGGUAUGCUGGGAUUAAUUACAGCUCUCCUACUCUUGGCACGGCCAUGCUCAAUCUUAUUCCAGCUUUCACUUUUGGCACGGCAUUACGAUAAUCACCAAAAAUCAACGACCCAAGAAUGUAGGAACCUUAAUUUGCACAAAUCCCCAGUUGGGCAUCUCAAAACGAUUGUCGUGGUCUUUUUGUCUUGCAACUGGUAGUUUUCCAUCUGGGUGUUUUUCUCAAGUUGCUGAAAUUGGAGUAUGGAGGAAGAUAAGUACCCUAAGGAGUUGGACGUGGCCGUUAGAGUGGUGCACAUGGCUUGUGCUCUGUGUCAGAGAGUUCAAGAGGGUUUGGUUUCAGCUAGCACUGACCAGGUGAAGUCCAAAGACGAUGAUUCCCCUGUAACAAUUGCAGUGUUUUGGUGGUGAAGAAGAAAACAUAUAGCGCCAAAUAGACGAUGACUGAGAAAUCGAAACCCAAAUUUCUCUUACUCUUUCUCUUCGCCCCUUUCUGCAAAACCCUAGCUUUCUCUCGCCGCCGCCCCAUCAAUUUAUGUUUCAGAUGAAAGGGUCAAUACAGAAGCCCAUCAAACUGGUUGAAGAUCUCUACUCCCGAUGUAAGUAAAUCUCCAAACCCUUGAUUUCUGAUGUGGGUUUUGUAAUUUGGGGGUUUUUAAUUAGGAGACCCAGAAUUUCAUAUCGAAGACCAGCUAGAACACGAGCUCGGCUUUGCACUCUUGCCAAGUCGAAUUGGAGAUGGACUCGAAGAUGGAAAACGGUUUGGAGAUGGAGUCAUGCCUGGGUCUUCAACUAGGAGGAAACUCUCAAUAUUUGAAGCUUGAAAUUUGCCAUAUUGCUUCUCUUUGUGAGAAAUUGGGACUUCCAGCGGAAGGCUUUCGAUCCUUGCUAUUGGUCACUGAUCUCUAUAGGCCCCAGUGGUGAAGCAAUGUUUCAUCAACUCUAAUCUCUUGUUUUCAGGGUAAAAACAAUCAGCUUAUUUGAGGAAAUAUGCGGUGUAGGUCCAGCUACUGCACUAAAAUUAUUUGAAAAAGGACAUCGUACAUUAGAUGAUUUGAAGAAUGAAGAUUUAUUGACACAUUCACAGAAGUUGGGGUUAAGAUAUUAUGAGGAUAUCAAACAGAGGAUCCCACGACAUGAGGUCAACUCGUACUUUUUUAAUUUACUUAUUCUUUUUGUUUUUAAAUGUUCUUAGAAUUCUUCUGUAAUCUGAAUUUUCUCACAUGAAAUUGGUGCUUCAUAUCUUAAUUGAACAGGCUCAAGAGAUGGAACUUCUUCUAUAAAAAGCAGCAGAGGAUGUUUUGCCUGGGUCCAGACAUUGGUGACAUUAUUGGCCUUGAAUUAAAAGGAGAUAAUGCACUUAUUGCUGCUGAUAUUAAGCGUUCUUCACUUGUUUUAUGUGGCAAUGCAUUCUCAGAUUCAAAUGCAACUAAAGAAGCACUAGUUGUCUUGUCCGGAUCUGUUAUAUUUGCCCGAAGAGGCCUUCCCCUAUCUGCAAGAAGAUACCAUUAAGGGUUGUGGAGAUUUGUUGGUGCCAGGAGAUGUAGGAGUUAUUCGUUCUUCUGAAGGUGUUGCCCCAUUGUUUCAAACUGGAAGCUCUGGUAGCUCAAAUCUAUUCAAGUUGCCAGCUGCUGCAGUCCUUGCAACUGUUGAUAGUGAUUUUGCUUACAACUAUCUUGGGAGAUGGGGCAAAUUGUAUUCUUUUUUAUUAUCAUGUAAAGCUCAUGAAACUUGAAAGCCUGUUAAGCUAAUGAAAUAGAUAUAGGCACUUGGGCAAGGUUAAUUCCUGUGUAAAUGUUGGGAUGAAUACUGCUGAUGGAAUGAAAUGGUUUUUGGAAUCAAGGAUGUG